rnacentral:rRNA from 1 species
CGAGUGGGGAAACCCACCUGACACUCAACUAUUGUUUGCUUCUGGCAAUCGAUAGUCGGGUGAGGCCAGGUACUUUUAACCUGAAUACAUAGGGUUUUAAGAGCAAACCCGGGGAACUGAAACAUCUAAGUACCCGGAGGAAAGGACAUCAACCGAGACUCCGUUAGUAGUGGCGAGCGAACGCGGACCAGGCCGUGCAGUAAUAAAAGCCGAACCAGUUGGAAAGCUGGGCGAAAUGGGUGACAGCCCCGUAGGCGUUUAAAAAUCUGCCGUUAGAGUAGGGCGGGACACGUAAAAUCCUGUCUGAACAUGGGGGG